GAUGAACGCUGGCGGCGUGCCUAAUACAUGCAAGUCGAGCGAACAGAUGAGGAGCUUGCUCCUCUGACGUUAGCGGCGGAUGGGUGAGUAACACGUGGAUAACCUACCUAUAAGACUGGGAUAACUUCGGGAAACCGGAGCUAGUACCGGAUAAUAUAUUGAACCGCAUGGUUCAAUAGUGAAAGACGGUUUUGCUGUCACUUAUAGAUGGAUCCGCGCCGCAUUAGCUAGUUGGUAAGGUAACGGCUUACCAAGGCGACGAUGCGUAGCCGACCUGAGAGGGUGAUCGGCCACACUGGAACUGAGACACGGUCCAGACUCCUACGGGAGGCAGCAGUAGGGAAUCUUCCGCAAUGGGCGAAAGCCUGACGGAGCAACGCCGCGUGAGUGAUGAAGGUCUUCGGAUCGUAAAACUCUGUUAUUAGGGAAGAACAAAUGUGUAAGUAACUAUGCACGUCUUGACGGUACCUAAUCAGAAAGCCACGGCUAACUACGUG
rnacentral:rRNA from 1 species